rnacentral:rRNA from 1 species
CGCGCAGGCGGGUCUGUAAGUCAGAGGUGAAAUCCUACAGCUUAACUGUAGAACUGCCUUUGAUACUGCAGAUCUUGAGUUCGGAAGAGAGAGGCGGAAUUCCAGGUGUAGUGGUGAAAUACGUAGAUAUCUGGAAGAACACCAGUGGCGAAGGCGGUCUCUUGGUCCGUAACUGACGCUGAGGCGCGAAAGCGUGGGGAGCAAACAGGAUAAGAUACCCUGGUAGUCC